ensembl:snoRNA U3 Small nucleolar RNA U3
AACCCAUGAUGAUGAGCUAUAAUACUCCUUUCUGAGAGCGAAUUGUGGACAGAACUGUGGCUUUGUUCACAAGUUCUGUCGUUGAUGAGCGUUCAUAUUGUUUUUGGCAAUGUUGAAGAAAGGAGUAUGAUCUGAGUGGU